rnacentral:rRNA from 1 species
CCUACGGGAGGCAGCAGUGAGGAAUAUUGGUCAAUGGGCGCGAGCCUGAACCAGCCAAGUAGCGUGAAGGAUGACUGCCCUAAGGGUUGUAAACUUCUUUUAUAAAGGAAUAAAGUGAGGCCCGUGUGCCUUUUUGUAUGUACUUUCUGAAUAAGGAACGGCUAACUCCGUGCCAGCAGCCGCGGUAAUACGGAGGAUCCGAUCGUUAUCCGGAUUUCUUGGGUUUAAGGGGAGCGUAGAUGGGUUGUUACGUCAGUUGUGAAAGUUUGCGGUUCAACCGUAAAAUUGCAAUUGAUACUGGCAGCCUUGAGUACAGUUGAGGUAGGCGGAAUUCGUGGUGUAGCGGUGAAAUGCUUAGAUAUCACGAAGAACUCCGAUUGCGAAGGCAGCUUACUAAACUGCCACUGACAUUGAUGCUCGAAAGUGUGGGUAUCAAACAGGAUUAGAUACCCGUGUAGUC